AGUUAAUGUUGCUUUUUCUACUUCCCAAAGCCUCUCACACUAUGCUAUCUCACUGACCAGCAAAGUCUUCUCUUUCUCUGACCACACAGUCCUUUUCACGGGAACACAAGGACAUAGACAAACGCUUCACGGUGGAAAACCUUCCUGGAGUGAGUCAGCCAGCCCUGAGGAUGGUGACUCCUACAGGACAACCAGGGACAAUCAUCUUCACAGGAACCUAUCCUCCCUGCUGGUAAACCUAAUCCUAUAGAUGCAAGAAGGCCUGUAUAUACAGAAGCAAUCCUGCAGUCAGCAAUGGAGCCUCUCUUCUCUUAAGUGACAGAGAAACUGAGUCACAAAAUAGUCUAGGAGUAGAAUGAUGGUUGCUAGAGGAUACAAGGAGUGGGAAAUGUGGAGUUGGUGUUCAAUGGAGAUAAAGCUGCAGUCUUGGAAGAUGAAAAGAUGAAACCUGUGGUUUUGGAGAUGGAUGGUGUGAUGGUUGCAUAACAAUGCGAAUGUACUUAGUGCCACUGCACUGUACACUUAAAUGCUAAACCUAGUACAUUUUAUGUUAUAUAUAUUUU
rnacentral:lncRNA from 1 species